GUCCGAGUCGCCUAGUGGUUUAGGGCGCUGGUCUGCAAAACCAGCAUUCGUGGGUUCGACUCCCACCUCGGACU
rnacentral:tRNA from 4 species